rnacentral:rRNA from 1 species
UACGUAGGGGGCAAGCGUUGUCCGGAUUUAUUGGGCGUAAAGAGCUCGUAGGUGGUUCGGUAAGUCGGAUGUGAAAUCUCCAGGCUCAACCUGGAGGGGUCAUUCGAUACUGCCGUGACUAGAGGUCGGUAGGGGAGUGUGGAAUUCCUGGUGGAGCGGUGAAAUGCGCAGAUAUCAGGAGGAACACCGGUGGCGAAGGCGGAUCUCUGGGCCGUAACUGACGCUGAGGAGCGAAAGCAUGGGGAGCGAACAGG